AUUGAACGCUAGCGGGAUGCCUUACACAUGCAAGUCGAACGGAGUGGCGAACGGGUGAGUAAUGUAUCGGAACGUGCCCAGUAGCGGGGGAUAACUAAGCGAAAGCGUAGCUAAUACCGCAUACUAUUGGAGCGGCCGCUAUCGGAGUAGAUAGUUGGUGGGGUAACGGCUCACCAAGGCGACGAACCGUAGCCGGUUUGAGAGGACGACCAGCCACACUGGGACUGAGACACGGCCCAGAAUCCUAAGGGAGGCAGCAGUGGGGAAUUUUGUACAAUGGGGGAAACCCUGUUCCAGCCAUCCCGCGUGUGCGAUGAAGGCCUUCGGUUUGUAAAGCAAUUUUGGCAGGACAGCGGUACCUGCAGAAUAAGCACCGGCUAACUACGUGCCAGCAGCCGCGGUAAUAC
rnacentral:rRNA from 1 species